CUGGAUAGGAAAUUAAGAGGCAUCUUUUAAUUUUUAAAAGACCUUUUUCGAAAGGUAUACUUAAAGAGGGGCUUGCGCCACAUUAGUUAGUUGGUAAGGUAAAGGCUUACCAAGACGAUGAUGUGUAGCUGGACUGAGAGGUCGAACAGCCACAUUGGGACUGAGACACGGCCCAAACUCCUACGGGAGGCAGCAGUAAGGAAUUUUUGGCAAUGGAGGAAACUCUGACCGAGCGACGUCGCGUGACAAUGAAGUACUUCGGUAUGUAAAGUUCUUUUAUUGAAAAAGAAAAAAUAAUGGAAAAACUAUCUUGACAUUAUUCAAUGAAUAAGCCCCGGCUAAUUAUGUGCCAGCAGCCGCGGUAAUACAUAAGGGGCGAGCGUUAUCCGGAAUUAUUGGGCGUAAAGGGUGCGUAGGCGGUUUGAUAAGUCUAUAGUUUAAAUGCAGUGCUUAACGCUGUAGCGCUAUAGAAACUGUCUGACUAGAGUUAGAUAGAGGCAAGCGGAAUUCCAUGUGUAGCGGUAAAAUGCGUAAAUAUAUGGAGGAACACCAGAGGCGUAGGCGGCUUGCUGGGUCUUAACUGACGCUGAGGCACGAAAGCGUGGGGAGCAAACAGGAUUAGAUACCCUGGUAGUCCACGCCGUAAACGAUGAGUACUAAGUGUCGGGUUUCGGCUCGGUACUGAAGUUAACACAUUAAGUACUCCGCCUGAGUAGUACGUACGCAAGUAUGAAACUUAAAGGAAUUGACGGGACCCCGCACAAGCGGUGGAUCGUGUUGUUUAAUUCGAAGAUACACGAAAAACCUUACCGGGUCUUGACAUAAUUUUGCGACAUUAUAGAAAUAUAAUGAAGGUUAUCAGAAUUACAGGUGGUGCAUGGUUGUCGUCAGCUCGUGUCGUGAGAUGUUAGGUUAAGUCCUAAAACGAGCGCAACCCUUGUCGUUAGUUGCGACCACGUAAUGGUGAGCACUUUAGCGAGACUGCCAAUGAAAAAUUGGAGGAAGGUGAGGAUUACGUCAAAUCAUCAUGCCCCUUAUGAUCUGGGCUACAAACGUGAUACAAUGGCUGUUACAAAGAGUAGCUACAACGUGAGUUUUUAGCCAAUCUCAAAAAAACAGUCUCAGUUCGGAUUGAAGUCUGCAACUCGACUUCAUGAAGUUGGAAUCGCUAGUAAUCGCGAAUCAGCAUGUCGCGGUGAAUACGUUCUCGG
rnacentral:rRNA from 1 species